rnacentral:rRNA from 1 species
UCUUGAGAGCGGCGGACGGGUGAGUAAUGCCUAGGAAUCUGCCUGGUAGUGGGGGAUAACGUUCGGAAACGGACGCUAAUACCGCAUACGUCCUACGGGAAAAAGCAGGGGACCUUCGGGCCUUGCGCUAUCAAAUGAGCCUAGGUCGGAUUAGCUAGUUGGUGGGGUAAUGGCUCACCAAGGCGACGAUCCGUAACUGGUCUGAGAGGAUGAUCAGUCACACUGGAACUGACACACGGUCCAGACUCCUACGGGAGGCAGCAGUGGGGAAUAUUGGACAAUGGGCGAAAGCCUGAUCCAGCCAUGCCGCGUGUGUGAAGAAGGUCUUCGGAUUGUAAAGCACUUUAAGUUGGGAGGAAGGGUUGUAGAUUAAUACUCUGCAAUUUUGACGUUACCGACAGAAUAAGCACCGGCUAACUCUGUGCCAGCAGCCGCGGUAAUACAGAGGGUG